UGCCGUGGGGUGUCCCAGCAGAAGGUC
rnacentral:piRNA from 1 species